rnacentral:rRNA from 1 species
AGAGUUUGAUCCUGGCUCAGAUUGAACGCUGGCGGCAGGCCUAACACAUGCAAGUCGAGCGGCAGCGGGAAAGUAGCUCGCUACUUUUGCCGGCGAGCGGCGGACGGGUGAGUAAUGCCUGGGGAUCUGCCCAGUCGAGGGGGAUAACUACUGGAAACGGUAGCUAAUACCGCAUACGCCCUACGGGGGAAAGCAGGGGACCUUCGGGCCUUGCGCGAUUGGAUGAACCCAGGUGGGAUUAGCUAGUUGGUGAGGUAAUGGCUCACCAAGGCGACGAUCCCUAGCUGGUCUGAGAGGAUGAUCAGCCACACUGGAACUGAGACACGGUCCAGACUCCUACGGGAG